UUUUUCUUUAAUACAGAGAACCACAAAAAGAACAUUCCUUUUUGGAAAGCACCAAAAAGGCUUUGUCUAAACAG
rnacentral:lncRNA from 1 species